rnacentral:rRNA from 1 species
AUUGAACGCUGGCGGCAGGCCUAACACAUGCAAGUCGAGCGGAUGAAGGGAGCUUGCUCCUGGAUCCAGCGGCGGACGGGUGAGUAAUGCCUAGGAAUCUGCCUGGUAGUGGGGGAUAACGUCCGGAAACGGGCGCUAAUACCGCAUACGUCCUGAGGGAGAAAGUGGGGGAUCUUCGGACCUCACGCUAUCAGAUGAGCCUAGGUCGGAUUAGCUAGUUGGUGGGGUAAAGGCCUACCAAGGCGACGAUCCGUAACUGGUCUGAGAGGAUGAUCAGUCACACUGGAACUGAGACACGGUCCGGACUCCUACGGGAGGCAGCAGUGGGGAAUGUUGGACAAUGGGCGAAAGCCUGAUCCAGCCAUGCCGCGUGUGUGAAGAAGGUCUUCGGAUUGUAAAGCACUUUAAGUUGGGAGGAAGGGCAGUAAGUUAAUACCUUGCUGUUUUGACGUUACCAACAGAAUAAGCACCGGCUAACUUCGUG